rnacentral:rRNA from 1 species
UACGUAGGGUGCGAGCGUUUAUCCGGAAUUAUUGGGCGUAAAGAGCUCGUAGGCGGUUUGUCACGUCUGCUGUGAAAACUGGAGGCUCAACCUUCAGCCUGCAGUGGGUACGGGCAGACUAGAGUGCGGUGGGGGAGAUUGGAAUUCCUGGUGUAGCGGUGGAAUGCGCAGAUAUCAGGAGGAACACCGAUGGCGAAGGCAGAUCUCUGGGCCGUUACUGACGCUGAGGAGCGAAAGCGUGGGGAGCGAACAGG